rnacentral:lncRNA from 1 species
CGGGAUAUUUUUGAGGAAUAUGGCCGCGAGGUGCAACUCCAGCACGCCACGUGGGCUAUGUGUCUGUUAUCGCCCGUUGGCGUCCCCAAUAGCGCAGCCGCGGCUGAGACUCAACAUCUCAACGUUGUGCUGAUCGACGUCCACCGUCGUCUCUCUCAGGUCCGCCGCUCCGAUCUCCUUGCGAGUCAGCCUGCUGUUGCCCCCCCUGACACCGCUCCUGCUACUGCCUCGAGCUCCGUUGGGACCUCGCAUGCCCUUCACGCUCACGGCACGAUUGCAGUUCCUGCUGUUGUUCCUGCCGAGGCUACCGGCCGCCAUCGUCGGUCACGCGGCCUCCGUCGCUCCCGUGGGUCUUCGUCCCUUCCGGCUACUGACCUGCGCCAUUUCUUGUCGGGGUCCCCGAAGCCGGGCCGUUAGGCCCGCCCUGGAGCUAUCCGCGUCCGCUCCCAUGCCCUUUCAGGUGGUGGGCUUCCUUCGUGGGGCGGCGCCCAGGAUGCCCUGACGCCCUCUUUUUUUUCUUUACUUGUUGUACCCGUACUUUGUUGUUGUUUUUUUCUCUCUUUUUUUUCCCGCCAUGUCACCGGCUAUUGUAAUCCUUGCUUUGCUUUAGUAAAUGCUUUCCCUUCGCUUUUUCACGUUUCGCGUUUUGAUUUCGCCUUCGCGCGUUGGUGCAGUUUUACGCUAUUCGACGUCCUCUGCUGAUGUUGCCCGGGCCCUUCUCGAGCUUCACCCCUGCUACCAG